rnacentral:lncRNA from 1 species
AGAACUGUUAAUACAACGGAUUAAUGGAGCUUGAUAGAAGCUUAGGAAAUCUUCUCCACAGCCCCUGCCUUUGGGCAGCACACAUCUAAACCAUCUACAAUGGUUCACGGUCUGUGCUUCUCCACAGCCUCCCAGUGUGCAGACACCAGAACCUACUCUGGGACUUUCACACCACGACUGCCCAGAAGUUUUCCAGUCACUCAAGAGAAAUCUGUUAGGUCAACUAUUUCUAUGACCAUGAUGUAUAGCUGGAACCAAAGGAAACUUUAACAACAGCGCCAUUGUUUAGACAAAUUGAUCUCAGAGAACGACAAUAGUAUUGAACCAGGCUUGCAAAUAACUACCCAAAAUUUACCAGUCCCCCAAAGUUUAUAAUCCUUUCCCUUCUAGAGAGAAAGAAGCUGUAAAAUAUAAAGCAUCCACGUUUGCAAACUAAGAAGCCAAUAUAAAAUUUUUUGUGGAUAGACUUCCA